rnacentral:rRNA from 1 species
UACGAGGGGGGCAAGCGUUGUUCGGAAUUAUUGGGCGUAAAGGGCGCGUAGGCGGUUUGACAAGUCUGAUGUGAAAUCUCUGGGCUCAACCCAGAGUCUGCAUUAGAAACUGUCGGGCUUGAGUAUGGGAGAGGUGAGUGGAAUUUCCGGUGUAGCGGUGAAAUGCGUAGAUAUCGGAAGGAACACCUGUGGCGAAAGCGGCUCACUGGACCAUGACUGACGCUGAGGCGCGAAAGCUAGGGGAGCAAACGGG